rnacentral:tmRNA from 1 species
GGGGAUGUUCUGGAUUCGACAGGUAUAGUUUGAGUUCGGAUUGCGAUUCGUGGUUGUGCCACGUAAAACCACUCAGUUUAUUUAUAACUGCAAAAAAUAAUAACAAUUCUUACGCUUUAGCUGCCUAAACAGCGCUAACCGUAGAUCCUCCUGAGAUCGUCCAUGUCUCAGAUCUGGGUCCUAAAUUAAGUGGACUUACGCUCAAUGCUCACACCUGAAGUAGCGAGAAGAGAUUAAUCGGGUUAGUCAUUACUGGGUGCCCUGACAUGCGGCGUUUGUAAUGGCGAAUUUCAAAUAGUAUGCCUAUGAUCGUAGAUAUCCGAAGGGCAAUAUGCUUGGACGCGAGUUCGACUCUCGCCAUCUCCAUAA